GAGUUUGAUCUUGGCUCAGGACGAACGCUGGCGGCGUGCUUAACACAUGCAAGUGGAGCGACGAACCAGGGCUUGCCCUGGGGCAAAGCCGCGAACGGGUGAGUAACACGUGGGUAACCUGCCCCGAUGACCGGGACAACCCGAGGAAACUCGGGCUAAUACCGGAUGUGGACCUUCCACAUCAGUGGACUGUCUAAAGGUAGCUUCGGCUUCCGCAUUGGGAUGGGCCCGCGGCCCAUUAGCUUGUUGGUGAGGUAAUGGCUUACCAAGGCUUCGAUGGGUAGCUGGUCUGAGAGGACGAUCAGCCACACUGGGACUGAGACACGGCCCAGACUCCUACGGGAGGCAGCAGUGGGGAACCUUGCGCAAUGCGCGAAAGCGUGACGCAGCAACGCCGCGUGGGGGAAGAAGGCCUUCGGGUUGUAAACCCCUUUUCAGGAGGGACGAAGGUCACACGGUUAACAGCCGGCGUGGCUGACGGUACCU
rnacentral:rRNA from 1 species